GAUGAACGCUGGCGGCGUGCCUAAUACAUGCAAGUCGAGCGAAUGGAUUAAGAGCUUGCUCUUAUGAAGUUAACGGCGGACGGGUGAGUAACACGUGGGUAACCUGCCCAUAAGACUGGGAUAACUCCGGGAAACCGGGGCUAAUACCGGAUAACAUUUUGAACCGCAUGGUUCGAAAUUGAAAGGCGGCUUCGGCUGUCACUUAUGGAUGGACCCGCGUCGCAUUAGCUAGUUGGUGAGGUAACGGCUCACCAAGGCAACGAUGCGUAGCCGACCUGAGAGGGUGAUCGGCCACACUGGGACUGAGACACGGCCCAGACUCCUACGGGAGGCAGCAGUAGGGAAUCUUCCGCAAUGGACGAAAGUCUGACGGAGCAACGCCGCGUGAGUGAUGAAGGCUUUCGGGUCGUAAAACUCUGUUGUUAGGGAAGAACAAGUGCUAGUUGAAUAAGCUGGCACCUUGACGGUACCUAACCAGGAAGCCACGGCUAACUACGUGCCAGCCGCCGCGGUAA
rnacentral:rRNA from 1 species